rnacentral:rRNA from 1 species
CCUACGGGAGGCUGCAGUGGGGAAUAUUGGACAAUGGGCGAAAGCCUGUUCCAGCCAUGCCGCGUGUGUGAAGAAGGCCUUCGGGUUGUAAAGCACUUUCAGUGGGGAAGAAAGCCUUGGGGCUAAUACCCUCGAGGAAGGACAUCACCCACAGAAGAAGCACCGGCUAACUCCGUGCCAGCAGCCGCGGUAAUACGGAGGGUGCGAGCGUUAAUCGGAAUUACUGGGCGUAAAGCGCGCGUAGGCGGUCUGAUAAGCCGGUUGUGAAAGCCCCGGGCUCAACCUGGGAACGGCAUCCGGAACUGUCAGGCUAGAGUGCAGGAGAGGAAGGUAGAAUUCCCGGUGUAGCGGUGAAAUGCGUAGAGAUCGGGAGGAAUACCAGUGGCGAAGGCGGCCUUCUGGACUGACACUGACGCUGAGGUGCGAAAGCGUGGGUAGCAAACAGGAUUAGAUACCCGGGUAGUC